CAAUAGCGUAUAUUAAAGUUGUUGCGGUUAAAAAGCUCGUAGUUGGAUUUCUGCUGAGGACGACCGGUCCGCCCUCUGGGUGAGUAUCUGGUUCGGCCUGGGCAUCUUCUUGGAGAGCGUAGCUGCACUUGACUGUGUGGUGCGGUAUCCAGGACUUUUACUUUUGAGGAAAUUAGAGUGUUUCAAGCAGGCACACGCCUUGAAUAUAUUAGCAUGGAAUAAUGAUAUAGGACCUUGGUACUAUUUUGUUUGGUUUUGGCGCACUGAGGUAAUGAUUAAGAGGGACAGUUGGGGGUAUUUGUAUUCCAUUGUCAGAGGUGAAAUUCUUGGAUUUUUGGAAGAUCAAACUACUGCGAAAGCAUUUACCAAAGGAUGUUUUCAUUAAUCAAGAACGAAAGUUAGGGGAUCGAAGACGAUC
rnacentral:rRNA from 1 species